rnacentral:rRNA from 1 species
GCUAGCAGCCAUAUCACCCUGUAAAUCACAACCGGCAACCCAUUAAAGCUAAGCAGGGGUGAGUGUGGUCAGUACCUGGAUGGGAGACCUCCAGGGAAUAGCUAACGUUGCUGCUGGAA